AAGGGGGCGACCCCGGUCAUGGAUGGGCAUGCGGCGCAUUAGGUAGUUGGUGGGGCAACGGCCCACCAAGCCGACGAUGCGUAGGGGUUCUGAGAGGAAGGUCCCCCACAUUGGAACUGAGACACGGUCCAAACUCCUACGGGAGGCAGCAGUGAGGAAUAUUGGUCAAUGGCCGGAAGGCUGAACCAGCCAAGUCGCGUGAGGGAAUAAGGCCCUACGGGUCGUAAACCUCUUUUGCCAGGGAGCAAUGCCGUCCACGUGUGGACGGAAGGAGAGUACCUGGAGAAAAAGCAUCGGCUAACUCCGUGCCAGCAGCCGCGGUAAUACGGAGGAUGCGAGCGUUAUCCGGAUUUAUUGGGUUUAAAGGGUGCGUAGGCGGCCUGCCAAGUCAGCGGUAAAAUUGCGGGGCUCAACCCCGUACAGCCGUUGAAACUGCCGGGCUCGAGUGGGCGAGAAGUAUGCGGAAUGCGUGGUGUAGCGGUGAAAUGCAUAGAUAUCACGCAGAACCCCGAUUGCGAAGGCAGCAUACCGGCGCCCGACUGACGCUGAGGCACGAAAGUGCGGGGAUCAAACAGGAUUAGAUACCCUGGUAGUCCGCACAGUAAACGAUGAAUGCUAGCUGUCCGGGGGGAUUGACCCCUGG
rnacentral:rRNA from 1 species